GAUGAACGCUGGCGGCGUGCCUAAUACAUGCAAGUCGAGCGAACGGACGAGAAUCUUUCUUCUCUGAUGUUAGCGGCGGACGGGUGAGUAACACGUGGAUAACCUACCUAUAAGACUGGGAUAACUUCGGGAAACCGGAGCUAAUACCGGAUAAUAUUUUGAACCGCAUGGUUCAAAAGUGAAAGACGGUCUUGCUGUCACUUAUAGAUGGAUCCGCGCUGCAUUAGCUAGUUGGUAAGGUAACGGCUUACCAAGGCAACGAUGCAUAGCCGACCUGAGAGGGUGAUCGGCCACACUGGAACAGAGACACGGUCCAGACUCCUACGGGAGGCAGCAGUAGGGAAUCUUCCGCAAUGGGCGAAAGCCUGACGGAGCAACGCCGCGUGAGUGAUGAAGGUCUUCGGAUCGUAAAACUCUGUUAUUAGGGAAGAACAUAUGUGUAAGUAACUGUGCACAUCUUGACGGUACCUAAUCAGAAAGCCACGGCUAACUACGUG
rnacentral:rRNA from 1 species